rnacentral:rRNA from 1 species
ACGGGAGGCAGCAGUGGGGAAUAUUGCACAAUGGGGGAAACCCUGAUGCAGCGACGCCGCGUGGGUGAAGAAGUAUUUCGGUAUGUAAAGCUCUAUCAGCAGGGAAGAUAAUGACGGUACCUGACUAAGAAGCACCGGCUAAAUACGUGCCAGCAGCCGCGGUAAUACGUAUGGUGCAAGCGUUAUCCGGAUUUACUGGGUGUAAAGGGAGCGUAGGUGGUUUGGCAAGCCAGAAGUGAAAACCCGGGGCUCAACCCCGUGGAUUGCUUUUGGAACUGUUGAACUAGAGUGCAGGAGGGGUAAGCGGAAUUCCCAGUGUAGCGGUGAAAUGCUUAGAUAUUGGGAGGAACACCAGUGGCGAAGGCGGCUUACUGGACUGUAAAUGACACUGAGGCUCGAAAGCGUGGGGAGCAAACAGGAUUAGAUACCCUGGUA